AUAUGCGAGGGAACUACUGG
rnacentral:miRNA from 1 species